UCCUGGCACCCUUCAUUCCACCGGAAUCUGUCUAUACAGAAACCAGAUUUCAGUGAAAUGAAGCCUGUCAGAGA
rnacentral:pre_miRNA from 1 species